rnacentral:lncRNA from 9 species
UUGCAAGAAGCACAAGAUCGAUAUAUGGAGGCCGCGAAAUGUAUUGAGAAGAUGCAGCAUCAAGUGCAAAAGUAAGAUUUAAAGCAGCACAGAGAAUAAGUAGGGAUUAAGUACGAAGCACCUAGGCAGUACAGUGUAAGAAUUAUACCAGGAAAGAUGACAAAUAAGACAUCAUUGGGGAGCCGGGUAAAAAUUUCAGUUUUGGGGUGUUGUGAAAUGGCUUUUCCCCAUUAUUUCUAAAUUUCUCUCAUUAUCCGCAAAACCCUGCUAGAAAAACAACAAAAUGGCCAAAACAUCUACCUUUCAAAAAUUUCAGAAUUUCUGUAAUGGAACCUGUGGAUGUUUGUGUGCAAUUGGUGUGGUGGUCUUAACAAUCUAUGUGUGAGGAUAAUUAUUUUGAAAUACACAUUCUAGGCUUGAAAAGGAAAAUGCCGAGUUAAAAGAUACAAACAAAAUGCAAGCGGGCACAAUUGAAGAGCUUCAGAGAAACCCGCCGGGUCCAAGUUCGUUGCAAGAAGCACAAGAUCGAUAUAUGGAGGCCGCGAAAUGUAUUGAGAAGAUGCAGCAUCAAGUGCAAAAGUAAGAUUUAAAGCAGCACAGAGAAUAAGUAGGGAUUAAGUACGAAGCACCUAGGCAGUACAGUGUAAGAAUUAUACCAGGAAAGAUGACAAAUAAGACAUCAUUGGGGAGCCGGGUAAAAAUUUCAGUUUUGGGGUGUUGUGAAAUGGCUUUUCCCCAUUAUUUCUAAAUUUCUCUCAUUAUCCGCAAAACCCUGCUAGAAAAACAACAAAAUGGCCAAAACAUCUACCUUUCAAAAAUUUCAGAAUUUCUGUAAUGGAACCUGUGGAUGUUUGUGUGCAAUUGGUGUGGUGGUCUUAACAAUCUAUGUGUGAGGAUAAUUAUUUUGAAAUACACAUUCUAGGCUUGAAAAGGAAAAUGCCGAGUUAAAAGAUACAAACAAAAUGCAAGCGGGCACAAUUGAAGAGCUUCAGAGAAACCCGCCGGGUCCAAGUUCGUUGCAAGAAGCACAAGAUCGAUAUAUGGAGGCCGCGAAAUGUAUUGAGAAGAUGCAGCAUCAAGUGCAAAAGCUUGAAAAGGAAAAUGCCGAGUUAAAAGAUACAAACAAAAUGCAAGCGGGCACAAUUGAAGAGCUUCAGAGAAACCCGCCGGGUCCAAGUUCGGUAAGUCGGGUUUUUUCUGUCAUAACCGAAAAGGAAUUUUAAUUGUGUUACCAAUAUUAUAUGAGACUAUUUUAGAAAAUAGGAAGAGUCUCACUGAUGAAAAGCAGUUACGGCAUCGAUAGUGGCACUCUUUGCUACGAAUAGCAGAAUUCCUCUUUAUAGAAGACAUUAACUGAAUUCAUAAAAUGAAUGAUUGUCGUAGGAAGAUUUUAAGUAGAAAGAUUGUGGAAGCGCUCCCAUUGUGGCU